UGACAUAUGAAGUAAAUUUGAUAUCAAAAUUUGUAUCGAGGGGCUGAGAAUGUGGCUUAGUGAUAGAGUGCUUGCCUAGCAUGCAUGAGGCCCUGGGUUUGAUUCCUCAGUACCACACAAAGAGUAAAAGCCAAAAGUGGUGCUAUGGCUCAAGUGGUAGAG